CAGUCGCCGCGGUAAUACGUAGGGUGCAAGCGUUAAUCGGAAUUACUGGGCGUAAAGCGUGCGCAGGCGGUUUGUUAAGACAGAUGUGAAAUCCCCGGGCUCAACCUGGGAACUGCAUUUGUGACUGGCAAGCUAGAGUCUGGCAGAGGGGGGUGGAAUUCCGCGUGUAGCAGUGAAAUGCGUAGAUAUGCGGAGGAACACCGAUGGCGAAGGCAGCCCCCUGGGCCAACACUGACACUGAGGCACGAAAGCGUGGGGAGCAAACAGGAUUAGAUACCCGUGUAGUCCCUGUCUCUUAUAC
rnacentral:rRNA from 1 species